AGCAGCCGCGGUAAUUCCAGCUCCAAUAGCGUAUAUUAAAGUUGUUGCAGUUAAAAAGCUCGUAGUUGAAUUUCGGGGUCAGUAGGUUGGUCGUGCCACUGGUAUGCACUGGUCUCACUGAUUCCUCCUUCCUGAUGAACCGUAAUGCCAUUAAUUUGGUGUUGCGGGGAAUCUGGACUGUUACUUUGAAAAAUUAGAGUGUUUAAAGCAGGCUAACGCUUGAAUACAUUAGCAUGGAAUAAUGAAAUAGGACGAUCGAUCCUAUUUUGUUGGUUUCUAGGAUUUGACGUAAUGAUUAAUAGGGAUAGUUGGGGGCAUUAGUAUUCAAUUGUCAGAGGUGAAAUUUCUUGGAUUUUAUUGAAGACUAACUACUGCGAAAGCAUUUGCCAAGGAUGUUUUCAUUAAUCAAGAACGAAAGUUAGGGGAUCGAAGACGAUCAGAUACCGUCGUAGUCUUAACCAUAAACUAUGCCGACUAG
rnacentral:rRNA from 1 species